rnacentral:rRNA from 1 species
UACGUAGGGGGCAAGCGUUGUCCGGAUUUAUUGGGCGUAAAGAGCGUGUAGGCGGCCAGGUAGGUCCGCUGUGAAAACUCGAGGCUCAACCUCGAGAUGUCGGCGGAAACCAUCUGGCUAGAGUCCGGAAGAGGAGAGUGGAAUUCCUGGUGUAGCGGUGAAAUGCGCAGAUAUCAGGAAGAACACCCGUGGCGAAGGCGGCUCUCUGGGACGGUACUGACGCUGAAACGCGAAAGCGUGGGGAGCGAACAGG